AUGGCCUGCAAUGACUUUGCCAAAUUCUUCACAGAAAAAAUCCAAAAAAUUAGACAAGCAAUUGGUACAUCAACAGCAGAUUCAGGAUAUAUACUGUGUCCACCGAAAAACUGUUUAAACACCAUGAAACAGUUUCACCCUAUUAACAAGAAAGACCUGGAGGACAUCUUAGGCCAACUGAACUCCUCCUCUUGCUGUUUAGAUGUCCUGCCAACAAGUUUUUUCAAAAAGGUCUCAAAUACUUUGGAGUCAGACCUGUUACAGAUCGUCAACUUAUCUUUAAUGUCAGCUCUGUUUCCAAAAUCACUAAAAACUGCUGUAAUAAAACCUAUACUGAAAAAUGACAAUCUUGACAAGACACUUCAAUCUAUAUACCUAAAAACCACAAACCAGGCGAGAGAUUUGGGUGUAGUGAUGGAUGCAGACCUAAACUUAGAAAAACACAUUAAGACAAUAACAAAAUCAGCUUACUAUCACCUCAAGAAUAUUUCAAGGAUAAAAGAUCUGAUGUCUCAACAGGACCUGGAAAAACUAGUCCAUGCAUUCAUCUUUAGUAGGCUUGAUUACUGUAACAGCAUCUUUACAGGUCUACCUAAAAAAUCAGUCAGACAACUACAGCUCAUUCAGAACUCUGCUGCUCGAGUCCUCACUAAGACCAAAAAAGUGGACCACAUCAGUCCAGCUCUGAGGUCUUUACACUGGCUGCCUGUCCGUCAGAGGAUAGACUUUAAAGUUCUGAUGCUGGUCUAUAAAGCUCUGAAUGGUUUAGGACCAAAAUACAUCAGUGACCUCCUGACCCAGUAUGAACCUUACAGAUCUCUCAGGUCAUCUGGAUCCAGUCUUUUAUCAGUUCCCAGAGUCAGAACCAGACAUGGAGAAGCUGCAUUCAGCUUUUAUGCUCCUUAUAUCUGGAACAAACUCCCAGAAAGCCUCAGAUCAGCUGAAACACUCAGUUUAUUUAAAUCCAGGUUGAAGACUCACCUGUUCUCAGCUGCAUUUGAAUAA
rnacentral:lncRNA from 1 species